rnacentral:lncRNA from 1 species
UUCAGCGAGAAGGUCACACUGCACAAUGAGAAACACGCGGGGGAGACAGCGGCCCUCGAGGAGGCCAUGAAAGGUCUAAGCCUGAUGCGGCCCCACGGCUCCAGCUCCAGAAAUAUCAGUAUCCGCAACUGGGCCCAAGCGGGGCCAGUACUAUGCCGGGUCCCUGCUCAACGUGAACCAGAUCGGGAGUGGCACCGUGGACCUGCCCUUCCAGACCCCCUUCCAAUCCUUGGGCCUGGACACCAGCCUGACUACCAGGCACCAUGGGCUGGUGAACAGGGUGUACCGGGAAUGCGGCCGACUAGGCUCCCCGCACUGCCUGCACCUGUCAAAGGACAAACACGGACAGCAGGCCAACAGCUGCCCAUACGGCACCGUGUACCUCUUGCCACCCACGGACACCAGCUGGAGAAGGACCAAUUCUGACUCGCCCUGCGCCAGAGCACAAUGACGCCCAUGCAGCCAGAAUCCUUUACUAGUGGGUCCCAGGACGUGCACCAGAAAAAAGUCUUACUGUUAACAGUCCCAGGAAUGGAAGAGACCAUAUCAGAGGCAGACAAAAACCUUUCCAAGCAAGCGUGGGGAAACCAAGAAGACGGGAUCCAGGACCAAGUCCUGCGCGGAAUCAACGAAUCAACAUCUUCCCGUCCGCCGACCAGGAAAACACUACAGCCCUGAUCUCCGCCAUUCACAAUACUGUGGGCUCCCUGCACCGCCUGACCAACAUCCACUUCCCUUCCCCGCUCGACUCCGAGGAGCCCACCUUCCCCGCACUCAGUAGCUCCAGCAGCACCGACAACGUCUCGGCCAACCUGAUGCACCUGGGCAUCAGCGGCGCCGGCCAAGGGGAUGAGUACACUCGGCUCCCCUCCGCAGCACCGUCCAGCCGGCGUCAGCCCCCUGUCCCGAGCACAGAGACGAGGCAUCAGCAGUCAUCGCCCACUCUGUCCCCGCUGUCAUACAUCACUCAGGCCGUGGCCUUGAAUGCCCUGUCUCUGGAGCAGCAGGUACCCUACGCCUUCUUCACCCAGACGGACUCCCAGCAGCCGCUGCCGCAGCCCCAGCCUCCGCCGCCCCCUUAGCCUGGGUCUCAGCAGCCGCCAACCCCACCGCCCCUACAGGCGCCCGUCCGCCUGCCCCCCGGCAGCCCCUGUUGCCCAGCACCAACCUGAAUCGUGGGCCACAGCCGCCCCCGCUCGCGGUCACGGUACCGUCCUCUCUCUUCCAGUCCCCACGAAGAAUCCCGGCCUGCCGUCGAUGGGGAUCGACAUCGCCUCGGCGCCGCCUCUGCAGCAGUAGCGGCACUAGCCCCGGCUCCUCGGCCAACCAGUCUCCCACCUCGCCAGUCUCCAAUCAAGGCUUCUCCCCAGGGAGCUCCCCGCAACACACUUCCACUCUGGGCAGCGUGUUUGGGGACGCGUACUAUGAGCAGCAGAUGGCGUUCAGGCAGGCCAAUGCUCUGUCCCACCAGCUGGAGCAGUUCAACACGAUGGAGAACGCCAUCAGCUCCCUAUACAACAGGGGCUCCACGCUCAACUACUCGCAGGCGGUCAUGAUAGCCCUCACCCACAGCCACGGGAGCCUGCUGAACUCGCAGCAGCUGGGCUACACCAGCCACAGUGGCAUCCCCAACAUCAUCCUCAUAGUGACAGGACAGUCUCCCCCGGCCCCCCAGCCUCUUUAAAGAACUGACCAGCUCUCUGGUCAGGGUCGGCGACCUCAGCUUCGACUCCGACAGCCAGUUUCCCCUGGAUGAACUCAAGAUCGACCCCCUGACCCUGGACGGACAGACCCUGAACGGACUGCACAUGCUCAAUGACCCCGACGUGGUUCUGGCGGACCCAGCCACCAAGAACACCUUCCGAAUGGACCGCC